rnacentral:rRNA from 1 species
AUAGCUUGCUAACUCCUGUUUCUAGUGGCGGACGGGUGAGUAACGCGUGAGGAACCUGCCUUUAUCAGGGGGAUAACGCAUCGAAAGAUGUGCUAAUACCGCGUAAGACCACAGCCUCACAUGGGGCAGGGGUCAAAGGAGCAAUCCGGAUAAAGAUGGGCUCGCGUCCGAUUAGCUAGUUGGUGAGAUAACAGCCCACCAAGGCGACGAUCGGUAGCCGACCUGAGAGGGUGAUCGGCCACAUUGGAACUGAGAGACGGUCCAGACUCCUACGGGAGGCAGCAGUGGGGAAUAUUGGGCAAUGGGCGAAAGCCUGACCCAGCAACGCCGCGUGAGGGAAGAAGGGUUUCGGCUCGUAAACCUCUGUCCUAUGGGACGAAGGAAGUGACGGUACCAUAGGAGGAAGCCCCGGCUAACUACGUGCCAGCAGCCGCGGUAAUACGUAGGGGGCGAGCGUUGUCCGGAAUGAUUGGGCGUAAAGGGCGCGUAGGCGGCCUGCUAAGUCUGGAGUGAAAGUCCUGCUUUCAAGGUGGGAAGUGCUUUGGAUACUGGUGGGCUGGAGUGCAGGAGAGGAAAGCGGAAUUACCGGUGUAGCGGUGAAAUGCGUAGAGAUCGGUAGGAACACCAGUGGCGAAGGCGGCUUUCUGGACUGAAACUGACGCUGAGGCGCGAAAGCGUGGGGAGCAAACAGGAUUAGAUACCCUGGUAGUCCACGCGGUAAACGAUGAAUGCUAGGUGUAGGAGGUAUCGACCCCUUCUGUGCCGCAGUAAACACAAUAAGC